GCGCACACCCGACGGGUCCGUUUCUGUGCGCGGCUGCGCGGUCGUUGCGCGUCGAAGUGCCGUGUUCCAAAUACGAAUUUUGUUGCUAAGUAUCGCUGAGUGACACGAAUUUAUUUGGCAAUCGAUUUGCGGACGUUAAGCCAGUGCAGUGUUGUUCGGACGUUGCGUUUCCCGGCCCGUUCUGGAUGUGCUUCUAUUGGGGUCGCAAGGAGAGAUGUAAAGCGGACAGUGAGAGUGGCCCCGCUUGAUCGGUUAAGUGUGAUGGACUAGCGUUGCGCCAAGAUGCACACCAUGGACACCAUGGGCUACGGCCACAAGAAGUACCGGCCGCCGAUAUCGCCCACCAACUUCUACCAGCACCAGCAUGACUACUAUUCGCGACAUACGACACUUCGGCCACAGAGUGAAUACCGGUUCGCGGGCGGGGGGUAUCCGCGAGCGAGCAGCGGGGGCGGGCG